GACGAACGCUGGCGGCGUGCUUAACACAUGCAAGUCGAGCGGUAAGGCCCUUUCGGGGGUACACGAGCGGCGAACGGGUGAGUAACACGUGGGUGACCUGCCCUCAGCUCUGGGAUAAGCCUGGGAAACCGGGUCUAAUACUGGAUAUGACUCCAUGACGCAUGUUGUGGGGUGAAAGCCUUGUGCGGCUGAGGAUGGGCCCGCGGCCUAUCAGCUUGUUGGUGGGGUGAUGGCCUACCAAGGCGACGACGGGUAGCCGGCCUGAGAGGGCGACCGGCCACACUGGGACUGAGAC
rnacentral:rRNA from 1 species